ACAACACACAACAUGGACGAAGACGGUGAAGAGAAAAUAUUUUCGCCCCCAGCCAAAUUCAAGGCACGGAUUUGGGAGAAUUUUGGAUUUACUAAACAACAGUUACAUGUCACUCCUGAGAUACCAGUGAUGCGGACCUCUCCUGCUCUUUGGACCUGCCUGGUCCAUCCUGAUGCCUUACAUCUAGCUGGAGUUCUCAUCACUUUGCACCUGAAAGGAUGGCCCAUAUGUACAGCGCCUGAUCCAUCCUGAUGCCCUACUUCUAGCUGAGGUUCUCGUUACUUCUCUCCCUGUGGAAGAUGGCCCCCUAUGGACAAUCUAAAUAUAUAAUUUAGGACUGCAGUUAUCAUGAUCUGUUUUGCACUCAAUUCUCCAUCAAUGAACAGUUGAUAACAUCAACAAAAUAAACUUCAUGUUAAAACUCUAA